rnacentral:rRNA from 1 species
GAUGAACGCUGGCGGCGUGCCUAAUACAUGCAAGUCGAGCGAACGGACGAGAAGCUUGCUUCUCUGAUGUUAGCGGCGGACGGGUGAGUAACACGUGGAUAACCUACCUAUAAGACUGGGAUAACUUCGGGAAACCGGAGCUAAUACCGGAUAAUAUUUUGAACCGCAUGGUUCAAAAGUGAAAGACGGUCUUGCUGUCACUUAUAGAUGGAUCCGCGCUGCAUUAGCUAGUUGGUAAGGUAACGGCUUACCAAGGCAACGAUGCAUAGCCGACCUGAGAGGGUGAUCGGCCACACUGGAACUGAGACACGGUCCAGACUCCUACGGGAGGCAGCAGUAGGGAAUCUUCCGCAAUGGGCGAAAGCCUGACGGAGCAACGCCGCGUGAGUGAUGAAGGUCUUCGGAUCGUAAAACUCUGUUAUUAGGGAAGAACAUAUGUGUAAGUAACUGUGCACAUCUUGACGGUACCUAAUCAGAAAGCCACGGCUAACUACGUGCCAGCAGCCGCGGUAAUACGUAGGUGGCAAGCGUUAUCCGGAAUUAUUGGGCGUAAAGCGCGCGUAGGCGGUUUUUUAAGUCUGAUGUGAAAGCCCACGGCUCAACCGUGGAGGGUCAUUGGAAACUGGAAAACUUGAGUGCAGAAGAGGAAAGUGGAAUUCCAUGUGUGGCGGUGAAAUGCGCAGAGAUAUGGAGGAACACCAGUGGCGAAGGCGACUUUCUGGUCUGUAACUGACGCUGAUGUGCGAAAGCGUGGGGAUCAAACAGGAUUAGAUACCCUGGUAGUCCACGCCGUAAACGAUGAGUGCUAAGUGUUAGGGGGUUUCCGCCCCUUAGUGCUGCAGCUAACGCAUUAAGCACUCCGCCUGGGGAGUACGACCGCAAGGUUGAAACUCAAAGGAAUUGACGGGGACCCGCACAAGCGGUGGAGCAUGUGGUUUAAUUCGAAGCAACGCGAAGAACCUUACCAAAUCUUGACAUCCUUUGACAACUCUAGAGAUAGAGCUUUCCCCUUCGGGGGACAAAGUGACAGGUGGUGCAUGGUUGUCGUCAGCUCGUGUCGUGAGAUGUUGGGUUAAGUCCCGCAACGAGCGCAACCCUUAAGCUUAGUUGCCAUCAUUAAGUUGGGCACUCUAAGUUGACUGCCGGUGACAAACCGGAGGAAGGUGGGGAUGACGUCAAAUCAUCAUGCCCCUUAUGAUUUGGGCUACACACGUGCUACAAUGGACAAUACAAAGGGCAGCGAAACCGUGAGGUCAAGCAAAUCCCAUAAAGUUGUUCUCAGUUCGGAUUGUAGUCUGCAACUCGACUACAUGAAGCUGGAAUCGCUAGUAAUCGUAGAUCAGCAUGCUACGGUGAAUACGUUCCCGGGUCU